rnacentral:rRNA from 1 species
AACUUCGGGAAAAGGAUUGGCUCUAAGGGUUGAGUGGAUGGAGUCGGCGCUCCGAAGCCUGUGCCUAGUUUUGGCUUACUGCGGAUGGCUCUCGGGCUGACUGCGGCGAGCCUUGAUCUGGCCUAGGUGAACGAGUACCGAUCGCGAGCAUGAGAGGGCAACUUUUCAUCUCUUCCGCCACAAAGAACAACCAACUUAGAACUGGAGCGGACAAGGGGAAUCCGACUGUUU